rnacentral:tRNA from 1 species
GAUCAAGUAGUUUAGUGGUUAGAAUUCACCAUUUUUAAGGUGAAUAAGUGAGGUAUCGGAGUUCGAACCCCGGCUCCUGCA